rnacentral:rRNA from 1 species
AUUGAACGCUGGCGGCAUGCUUUACACAUGCAAGCCGAACGGUAACAGGCCGCAAGGUGCUGACGAGUGGCGAACGGGUGAGUAAUGCAUCGGAACGUGCCCAGUCGUGGGGGAUAACGCAGCGAAAGCUGCGCUAAUACCGCAUACGAUCUAUGGAUGGAAGCGGGGGACCGUAAGGCCUCGCGCGAUUGGAGCGGCCGAUGUCAGAUUAGGUAGUUGGUGGGGUAAAGGCUCACCAAGCCAACGAUCUGUAGCUGGUCUGAGAGGACGACCAGCCACACUGGGACUGAGACACGGCCCAGACUCCUACGGGAGGCAGCAGUGGGGAAUUUUGGACAAUGGGCGCAAGCCUGAUCCAGCAAUGCCGCGUGCAGGAAGAAGGCCUUCGGGUUGUAAACUGCUUUUGUACGGAACGAGACGGUCCUGGUUAAUACCUGGGGCUAAUGACGGUACCGUAAGAAUAAGCACCGGCUAACUACGUGCCAGCCGCCGCCGUAACAC